UUUUAUGGAGAGUUUGAUCCUGGCUCAGAGUGAACGCUGGCGGCGUGCCUAAUACAUGCAAGUCGAACGAUGAAGCUUCUAGCUUGCUAGAAGUGGAUUAGUGGCGCACGGGUGAGUAAGGUAUAGUUAAUCUGCCCUACACAAGAGGACAACAGUUGGAAACGACUGCUAAUACUCUAUACUCCUGCUUAACACAAGUUGAGUAGGGAAAGUUUUUCGGUGUAGGAUGAGACUAUAUAGUAUCAGCUAGUUGGUAAGGUAAUGGCUUACCAAGGCUAUGACGCUUAACUGGUCUGAGAGGAUGAUCAGUCACACUGGAACUGAGACACGGUCCAGACUCCUACGGGAGGCAGCAGUAGGGAAUAUUGCGCAAUGGGGGAAACCCUGACGCAGCAACGCCGCGUGGAGGAUGACACUUUUCGGAGCGUA
rnacentral:rRNA from 1 species